rnacentral:tRNA from 1 species
ACACCCGUAGCUCAACUGGACAGAGUGUUGGCUUGCGGAGCCAGAGGUCGGGGUUCAAGUCCUCGCGGGUGUG